rnacentral:rRNA from 1 species
AACGAACGCUGGCGGCAGGCUUAACACAUGCAAGUCGAACGCACCUUUCGGGGUGAGUGGCAGACGGGUGAGUAACGCGUGGGAAUCUACCCUUCUCUACGGGAUAGCUCCGGGAAACUGGAAUUAAUACCGUAUACGUCCUGAGGGAGAAAGAUUUAUCGGGGAAGGAUGAGCCCGCGUUGGAUUAGCUAGUUGGUGGGGUAAAGGCCUACCAAGGCGACGAUCCAUAGCUGGUCUAAGAGGAUGAUCAGCCACAUUGGGACUAAGACACGGCCCAAACUCCUACGGGAGGCAGCAGUGGGGAAUAUUGGACAAUGGGCGCAAGCCUGAUCCAGCCAUGCCGCGUGAGUGAUGAAGGCCCUAGGGUUGUAAAGCUCUUUCAGUGGGGACGAUAAUGACGGUACCCACAGAAGAAGCCCCGGCUAACUUCGUGCCAGCCGCCGCAGUAACAC